rnacentral:rRNA from 1 species
AUUGAACGCUGGCGGCAUGCCUUACACAUGCAAGUCGAACGGCAGCACGGGAGCAAUCCUGGUGGCGAGUGGCGAACGGGUGAGUAAUAUAUCGGAACGUGCCCGGUCGUGGGGGAUAACGUAGCGAAAGCUACGCUAAUACCGCAUACGAUCUACGGAUGAAANCGGGGGAUCGCAAGACCUCGCGCGAUUGGAGCGGCCGAUAUCAGAUUAGGUAGUUGGUGAGGUAAAGGCUCACCAAGCCGACGAUCUGUAGCUGGUCUGAGAGGACGACCAGCCACACUGGGACUGAGACACGGCCCAGACUCCUACGGGAGGCAGCAGUGGGGAAUUUUGGACAAUGGGCGAAAGCCUGAUCCAGCAAUGCCGCGUGAGUGAUGAAGGCCUCGGUGUAAGC